UACAGAGGUCCCAAGCGUUGUUCGGAUUCACUGGGCGUAAAGGGUGCGCAGGUGGGUUUGCAAGUUCGAUGUGAAAGCCCCGGGCUUAACCCGGGAAUGGCAUUGGAUACUGCAGAUCUGGAGGAGUCGGAGGGGGGACUGGAAUUCUUGGUGUAGCAAGUGAAAUGCGUAGAUGAUCAAGAGGAACACCAGUGGCGAAGGCGAGUCCCUGGACGAUACCUGACACUGAGGCACGGAAAGCUAGGGGAGCAAACGGG
rnacentral:rRNA from 1 species